GUUUAACCCCUUCCCCUGCUA
rnacentral:tRNA from 12 species